GCCCGCAAAGCGGAACCUGGAGGAACGAGGGAGGGCCGCAGUCUCGGGGAACCGGAGCCGUCGCUGCGACUCCGCCGGGACAGCAGCUUCCGGCGCCCCGGCAGCCUCCUGCCCUCGGGGCACUCGCUCCCCCGAGGUGUACUCCCCGAGGGCUGGGGGAGCGCAUUCCCUCCUGUCCUACUGAUUAACUUUCAGCAAAUGGGGCUGCCCAAAGGAGCAGACAGCGAGUGACCUGUGGCCCUGCUGUUUGAUUCUGGAUGGAGUUACGUUUAGGAGCCUGGCAGCAAACUGGGGCACCUGUUCAAUUAGUGAUGAUGCCAUACUCUGGUUGAUUUCUGUGGGGCACAUCUGUCCCUUACCAAGAAGAUCAGGCCAAGGAACACCAGGAGGAGAAUCACAGCCACCAGGACCACAAUAACUAUGGCCCAUGCAGGGAAUGAAUCAUUCUCUCCCAUCUGUCCAGCGUGGAUACCUUUCUGUGAGCCAUCUUUAUUGAGGCUGGAAGACCAAGGGCGACUUCUGCUGUUCAGUAAUUGAGCUCUGAGAUUAAAAGAUGUUGAAAGAAGUCCUCUGGCCCACCAAUUCUGGGAUACCAGUUGUCAUCAAACCACAGGAUCACAGUCCAUAACUAGACUCAGAUAACAAGAUUUUAGAAUUUUAGAUCUGCAUCAAACAGUUGUGGAACCAUAGAUUGUAAAAAGCUGAGGUAAAGCUCAAGGGAUUCCUUGGUCCUGACGCAGCCAAGAGGCAAAUCAGUGUAAACCCCCAGGACAAGAGGAGCAUCUCUGCCCCAGACGAUCUACUUUGGUAGUGACUUAUUUCCCUAGGAAGUUUUCACCAGGAGAUAUUCAUUCCACGUACAACCAUCAUAGCCCGAAAAGAACUGUUUUGGUCACUGAAGAAUAGGCAGGAGGUGCAGAGAGGAAAAUCCAACUUUAGCACAAGACACUGUGGGUGGAUGCUCAGCUGGGAUAAAAGAAUAAGAACAAAUCCCACAACAUCAAAACGAUGCACAAUGCUAAAGGUCCCCGCCAUCUGCUUCGUUCACUCAUUUGAAAGGGAGGACAUCGGCUGGACACGGUGGCUUAUACCUGUAAUCCCAGCACUUUGGGAGGCCAAGGUGGGCCUGAGGUCAGGAGUUCAAGACCAGCCUGGCCAACAUGGCGAAACCCCGUCUCUACUAAAAAUAUGAAAAUUAGCCAGGCGUGUUGGCAGGACCCUGUAAUCCCAGCUGCUCAGGAGGCUGAGGCAGGAGAAUCAGUUGAACCUGGGAGGCAGAGGCUGCAGUGAGCCAAGAUCAUGCCACUACACUCCAACCUGGGCCACAGAGUGAGACUCUGUCGAAAGAAGAAAGAAAGAGAGAGAGAGAGACAGAGAGAGAAUGAAAGAAAGGGAAAGGGAAAGAAAAGGAAGAAAAGAAAGAAAAGAAGGAAGGAAGGAAGGGAAAGGAAAGGGAAGGAAGGAAGGGAGAAAGACAGAAUAUCUUGCUAAGCAACUCAUGCCUUGGAGUCGCUGUCAGGGCACGCUGUCCCAAAAGAGCAUCUCUAGUGUUUCCUGGUAUCCUUACCCCCAUAAAUGGCAUGCUCCAUUUGCAAUAAUGUGGGUAAAUGCUUGUUAAAAUACCUAUACAGUAUGAGUUCAAUAAGUGGCUUAAAACGCAGACAUAGAAAAAGAAAAGCUGGUGGGCACAGUUGUUCACACCUAUAAUCCCAGCACUUAGGGAGGCUGAGGCAGGAGGAUCACCAGUUUGAGACCAGUCUGGGCAACAUAGCGAGACCUGUCUACAAAAAAAAAAAGGAAAGCUAAAGGGAGAUAUAAUCAAAUGAUUGCUUGGGGACUAGGGAGUAUACAGAGAUUUUAUUUUUCUUUCUUAUUUUUUCUAUUUUCCAUUUUCUACAAUGAGCAUACAUUAUUUGUGUUAUAGAAAUUAAAUCAAAUAACAUUUGUUAUAGG